rnacentral:rRNA from 1 species
CGGACGGGUGGGUAAUGUCUGGGAAACUGCCUGAUGGAGGGGGAUAACUACUGGAAACGGUAGCUAAUACCGCAUAACGUCGCAAGACCAAAGAGGGGGACCUUCGGGCCUCUUGCCAUCGGAUGUGCCCAGAUGGGAUUAGCUAGUAGGUGGGGUAACGGCUCACCUAGGCGACGAUCCCUAGCUGGUCUGAGAGGAUGACCAGCCACACUGGAACUGAGACACGGUCCAA